rnacentral:rRNA from 1 species
UACGUAGGGUGCGAGCGUUAAUCGGAAUUACUGGGCGUAAAGCGUGCGCAGGCGGUUCGUUAAGUCAGAUGUGAAAGCCCCGGGCUCAACCUGGGAACUGCAUUUGAAACUGGCGGGCUUGAGUGUGGCAGAGGGGGGGUGGAAUUCCGCGUGUAGCAGUGAAAUGCGUAGAGAUGCGGAGGAACACCGAUGGCGAAGGCAGCCCCCCUGGGCCAACACUGACACUCAGGCACGAAAGCGUGGGGAGCAAACAGG